rnacentral:rRNA from 1 species
AUUGAACGCUGGCGGCAGGCCUAACACAUGCAAGUCGAGCGGAUGAAGGGAGCUUGCUCCUGGAUUCAGCGGCGGACGGGUGAGUAAUGCCUAGGAAUCUGCCUGGUAGUGGGGGAUAACGUCCGGAAACGGGCGCUAAUACCGCAUACGUCCUGAGGGAGAAAGUGGGGGAUCUUCGGACCUCACGCUAUCAGAUGAGCCUAGGUCGGAUUAGCUAGUUGGUGGGGUAAAGGCCUACCAAGGCGACGAUCCGUAACUGGUCUGAGAGGAUGAUCAGUCACACUGAAACGGAACAAGGCUCAACCGCCAACGGGGAGGCGGCAUGGGGGAAUUUUGAACAUGGGGAGAAGCCAUAAUCCAGCCGUGCGGCGGGUGUGAAAGGGGUCUUGGAUUAUAAAGGUAUUUAAAGUUGGGAGAAAGGACAGUAAUUUAAUCCUUUGUUGUUUUGACGUUCCAAAAAAAAUAGGCACCGGCUAGCUCGCCG